rnacentral:rRNA from 1 species
GACGAACGCUGGCGGCGUGCUUAACACAUGCAAGUCGAACGGAAAGGCCCUGCUUUUGUGGGGUGCUCGAGUGGCGAACGGGUGAGUAACACGUGAGUAACCUGCCCUUGACUUUGGGAUAACUUCAGGAAACUGGGGCUAAUACCGGAUAGGAGCUCCUGCUGCAUGGUGGGGGUUGGAAGGUUUCGGCGGUUGGGGAUGGACUCGCGGCUUAUCAGCUUGUUGGUGGGGUAGUGGCUUACCAAGGCUUUGACGGGUAGCCGGCCUGAGAGGGUGGCCGGCCACAUUGGGACUGAGAUACGGCCCAGACUCCUACGGGAGGCAGCAGUGGGGAAUAUUGCACAAUGGGCGGAAGCCUGAUGCAGCAACGCCGCGUGCGGGAUGACGGCCUUCGGGUUGUAAACCGCUUUCGCCUGUGACGAAGCGUGAGUGACGGUAAUGGGUAAAGAAGCACCGGCUAACUACGUG